AAAUUGAAGAGUUUGAUCAUGGCUCAGAUUGAACGCUGGCGGCAGGCCUAACACAUGCAAGUCGAACGGUAACAGGAAGCAGCUUGCUGCUUCGCUGACGAGUGGCGGACGGGUGAGUAAUGUCUGGGAAACUGCCUGAUGGAGGGGGAUAACUACUGGAAACGGUAGCUAAUACCGCAUAAUGUCGCAAGACCAAAGAGGGGGACCUUCGGGCCUCUUGCCAUCGGAUGUGCCCAGAUGGGAUUAGCUAGUAGGUGGGGUAACGGCUCACCUAGGCGACGAUCCCUAGCUGGUCUGAGAGGAUGACCAGCCACACUGGAACUGAGACACGGUCCAGACUCCUACGGGAGGCAGCAGUGGGGAAUAUUGCACAAUGGGCGCAAGCCUGAUGCAGCCAUGCCGCGUGUAUGAAGAAGGCCUUCGGGUUGUAAAGUACUUUCAGCGGGGAGGAAGGGAGUAAAGUUAAUACCUUUGCUCAUUGACGUUACCCGCAGAAGAAGCACCGGCUAACUCCGUGCCAGCAGCCGCGGUAAUACGGAGGGUGCAAGCGUUAAUCGGAAUUACUGGGCGUAAAGCGCACGCAGGCGGUUUGUUAAGUCAGAUGUGAAAUCCCCGGGCUCAACCUGGGAACUGCAUCUGAUACUGGCAAGCUUGAGUCUCGUAGAGGGGGGUAGAAUUCCAGGUGUAGCGGUGAAAUGCGUAGAGAUCUGGAGGAAUACCGGUGGCGAAGGCGGCCCCCUGGACGAAGACUGACGCUCAGGUGCGAAAGCGUGGGGAGCAAACAGGAUUAGAUACCCUGGUAGUCCACGCCGUAAACGAUGUCGACUUGGAGGUUGUGCCCUUGAGGCGUGGCUUCCGGAGCUAACGCGUUAAGUCGACCGCCUGGGAGUACGGCCGCAAGGUUAAAACUCAAAUGAAUUGACGGGGGCCCGCACAAGCGGUGGAGCAUGUGGUUUAAUUCGAUGCAACGCGAAGAACCUUACCUGGUCUUGACAUCCACGGAAGUUUUCAGAGAUGAGAAUGUGCCUUCGGGAACCGUGAGACAGGUGCUGCAUGGCUGUCGUCAGCUCGUGUUGUGAAAUGUUGGGUUAAGUCCCGCAACGAGCGCAACCCUUAUCCUUUGUUGCCAGCGGUCCGGCCGGGAACUCAAAGGAGACUGCCAGUGAUAAACUGGAGGAAGGUGGGGAUGACGUCAAGUCAUCAUGGCCCUUACGACCAGGGCUACACACGUGCUACAAUGGCGCAUACAAAGAGAAGCGACCUCGCGAGAGCAAGCGGACCUCAUAAAGUGCGUCGUAGUCCGGAUUGGAGUCUGCAACUCGACUCCAUGAAGUCGGAAUCGCUAGUAAUCGUGGAUCAGAAUGCCACGGUGAAUACGUUCCCGGGCCUUGUACACACCGCCCGUCACACCAUGGGAGUGGGUUGCAAAAGAAGUAGGUAGCUUAACCUUCGGGAGGGCGCUUACCACUUUGUGAUUCAUGACUGGGGUGAAGUCGUAACAAGGUAACCGUAGGGGAACCUGCGGUUGGAUCACCUCCUUA
rnacentral:rRNA from 1 species